rnacentral:rRNA from 1 species
AGAACGAACGCUGGCGGCGCGCCUAACACAUGCAAGUCGAGCGCCUCGCUUUCGGGCGGGGAGCGGCGCACGGGUGAGUAACGCGUGGGAAUCUACCCUGGGGUUCGGGACAACGGCGGGAAACUGCCGCUAACACCGGAUACGGCCUUUUGGCGAAAGUUUACGCCCUGGGAUGAGCCCGCGUCCGAUUAGCUAGUUGGUGGGGUAACGGCCCACCAAGGCUGCGAUCGGUAGCCGGUCUGAGAGGAUGAUCGGCCACACUGGGACUGAGACACGGCCCAGACUCCUACGGGAGGCAGCAGUGGGGAAUCUUGGACAAUGGGGGCAACCCUGAUCCGGCGACGCCGCGUGGGUGAUGAAGGCCUUCGGGUUGUAAAGCCCUUUUGUCGGGACGAUGAUGACGGUACCCGGCGAAUAAGCACCGGCUAACUCCGUGCCAGCAGCCGC